rnacentral:rRNA from 1 species
UAACACAUGCAAGUCGAACGGAAAGGCCCCUUCGGGGGUACUCGAGUGGCGAACGGGUGAGUAACACGUGGGUGACCUGCCCUGCACUCUGGGAUAAGCCUGGGAAACUGGGUCUAAUACCGGAUAUACCCUUCUGGCCGCAUGGUCUGGGAGGGGAAAGCUUUUGCGGUGUGGGAUGGGCCCGCGGCCUAUCAGCUUGUUGGUGGGGUGAUGGCCUACCAAGGCGACGACGGGUAGCCGGCCUGAGAGGGUGUCCGGCCACACUGGGACUGAGAUACGGCCCAGACUCCUACGGGAGGCAGCAGUGGGGAAUAUUGCACAAUGGGCGGAAGCCUGAUGCAGCGACGCCGCGUGAGGGAUGACGGCCUUCGGGUUGUAAACCUCUUUCAGUGCCGACGAAGCGCAAGUGACGGUAGGCACAGAAGAAGCACCGGCCAACUACGUGCCAGCAGCCGCGGUAAUACGUAGGGUGCGAGCGUUGUCCGGAUUUACUGGGCGUAAAGAGCUCGUAGGUGGUUUGUCGCGUUGUCCGUGAAAUCCCACGGCUUAACUGUGGGCGUGCGGGCGAUACGGGCAGACUAGAGUACUGCAGGGGAGACUGGAAUUCCUGGUGUAGCGGUGGAAUGCGCAGAUAUCAGGAGGAACACCGGUGGCGAAGGCGGGUCUCUGGGCAGUAACUGACGCUGAGGAGCGAAAGCGUGGGGAGCGAACAGGAUUAGAUACCCUGGUAGUCCACGCCGUAAACGGUGGGUACUAGGUGUGGGUUCUUUCCUAAGGAUCCGUGCCGUAGCUAACGCAUUAAGUACCCCGCCUGGGGAGUACGGCCGCAAGGCUAAAACUCAAAGGAAUUGACGGGGGCCCGCACAAGCGGCGGAGCAUGUGGAUUAAUUCGAUGCAACGCGAAGAACCUUACCUGGGUUUGACAUGCACAGGACGCGUCUAGAGAUAGGCGUUCCCUUGUGGCCUGUGUGCAGGUGGUGCAUGGCUGUCGUCAGCUCGUGUCGUGAGAUGUUGGGUUAAGUCCCGCAACGAGCGCAACCCUCGUCCCAUGUUGCCAGCGGGUGAUGCCGGGGACUCAUGGGAGACUGCCGGGGUCAACUCGGAGGAAGGUGGGGAUGACGUCAAGUCAUCAUGCCCCUUAUGUCCAGGGCUUCACACAUGCUACAAUGGCCGGUACAGAGGGCUGCGAAGCCGUGAGGUGGAGCGAAUCCCAGAAAGCCGGUCUCAGUUCGGAUCGGGGUCUGCAACUCGACCCCGUGAAGUCGGAGUCGCUAGUAAUCGCAGAUCAGCAACGCUGCGGUGAAUACGUUCCCGGGCCUUGUACACACCGCCCGUCACGUCAUGAAAGUCGGUAACACCCGAAGCCGGUGGCCUAACCCGUAAGGGAGGGAGCCGUCGAAGGUGGGAUCGGCGAUUGGGACGAAGUCGUAACAAGGUAGCCGUACCGGAAGG